ensembl:lncRNA
CAACAAUAUGGCUAAUUGUUACAAAAGACAUGGAGAGAGAGGGACAGAGACACUUAACAUUGCUACAUUUAGAAACUACAAAUGUAUACUUUGCACACGAACCGUCGCCCGCUUGGCAUAAGAAAUCAUGAAUGCAUUGACCUGAAAUGUCUUGGUUCGCCGCGUAUCUCCCGGAACCGGGCCGCCUUUGAAAGUGGGUUGGGCCUUUUUCGCGGCAUGCUUGUAAAGCUCUGAUGAUCCACAAGGGUUCUAACAAGUCUUCUACUGUUGUUCUCCUCUGAAGUUGUCUGGUACCCGGUGACUUGUAGUGUAGUCCUGAACAGAACUACAGAGUUUAUUCUCCAUCCAUUCACUCCGGACGAUGCUUCUUUGAAGAUGGGCUAGCCAGUCACCAAUGCUCUGGAUAACAUAACAGCCUAACCAGCUCUGCUAGGGGCUUCUUCAAUGUCCUCUACAAAGUUUUUGGUGCCUUGAAGUUAGUAUGAAGGUAACUGAAUCCGGCUGCUAAAGGAGCCCCAAAUAAAGUAAGGUCAUUUUGUUUGUUUAGUUUAUAUUUGUUAGUGGUGUUGAUACUGAUUUAUUGCGUGGGGUCUUUUUAUUUUAGUGGGUUUUUCACAGGUUAGAAAGGAUGCACCUUAAAAGGGCACACAAAUUAAUUUCUCUGAAGUAUCUAUUGUCAGAGUUUUGUGUGCACACAUGUCAAUUCUCUUGAUAAGAAAUGUACUGAAAAACCCAAUGUAAACCUGAUACACAAUAUGUUUGAAAUAUCGUUAAAUAACGUGCGGUACAGGGAAAUAAACACUCAAUGUGGAUGAAUGACCUUUGACAUCUGUUCUGACUUUCUGGUGAGGCCUGAUCACUAUCACUGGAAAGACUAGAGACAUUGGGUGAGAUUUCAUGGGUUAUGUAAACACUUAUAAUUAGGAAGAAGUUUAUCAUUUAUCAUCAACAGUCCUAUGUGUGAUUUGAAACAUGAGAAGGAGAGAGAGAGAGAGCGCUGACCCUGAAUGAGGGACACCUGUCUCGUCUACUCUACCAUUACCUUAUGGGAGAGAGUUAAGUUAAGAUAGAGUCAUCAAGGGUUGCAAUUCGAAUUUGAUUUGUUACUUUAAUUAACAGGCAGUGUUUUUUGGGGGGCGCAUGAAUCACGAUGUGAGUCGUGUCCAAAAGGGGGAAUUACCAAUUCCCUGGAGCUCUUUGCUAAAUAUGCAAAUAGAUUUUCUUCCCAUGCCUCCAUGUAAAAGGAAAAAAGGUAUGUUGUUAAUGAUUGACAGUUACUCCAAAUUGAUUGAAGUUUUCCCCACCUCGAGUGAUAUGAUGAAGUGUAUUGCUGUCAUUUUGUUUUUGUCUUGCUUCAAUACAAAUCUCAUCAGAUUGGGUUUGCUGGAUGGCCGGGAUUUCUCCCUAAGAAUUAGCCCUCCGACUCCCCGACCCUGUAACUCUGUGGUUGAUUUCCCUUACUUUAAUAGGAGAACAGAACCUUUUGAUAGAAGCUAUAAUCUAAUGUUUAAAUGAAAAUGUAAUGAUAAUUAUCACAGCUUGAGUGAUUGAGUGAUAUUUUUUUUUAAAUGUUUGUGCUUUUCUAAUAACCAAUUUCUG